rnacentral:rRNA from 1 species
AUUGAACGCUGGCGGUAUGCUUAACACAUGCAAGUCGAACGGUAACAGGCCUUCGGGCGCUGACGAGUGGCGGACGGGUGAGUAACGCGUAGGAAUCUGCCUUAUAGUGGGGGACAACGUGGGGAAACCCACGCUAAUACCGCAUACGCCCUACGGGGGAAAGCGGGGGAUCGUAAGACCUCGCGCUAUGAGAUGAGCCUGCGUUAGAUUAGCUAGUUGGUAGGGUAAAGGCCUACCAAGGCGACGAUCUAUAGCUGGUCUGAGAGGACGAUCAGCCACACUGGGACUGAGACACGGCCCAGACUCCUACGGGAGGCAGCAGUGGGGAAUAUUGGACAAUGGGCGCAAGCCUGAUCCAGCAAUACCGCGUGUGUGAAGAAGGCCUUAGGGUUGUAAAGCACUUUCAAUGGGGAGGAAAACCUGCCGGUCAAUACCCGGUAGCUUGACAUUACCUAUAGAAGAAGCACCGGCUAACUCCGUGCCAGCAGCCGCAGUAAUAC